GUUCGAUUCCUGGUACCAGGAAAAAAAAAAAAAACCCAAAAUGCAUGUCUGUUACUAAUACCCAGUUUUAAUUUUUCUCUACAGGUCAACUUUGUCGUGUGCCAACUCUUUGCCUUGUUAGCUGCUGUUUGGUUUCGAACUUAUCUACAUUCAAGCAAGACUAGUUCUUUUAUACGACAUAUAGUUGCUACCCUUUUGGGACUUUAUCUUGCAUUUUUUUGCUUUGGAUGGUAUGCCUUACAUUUUCUUGUACAAAGUGGGAUCUCCUACUGCAUCAUGAUCAUCAUAGGAGUGGAGAGCAUGCACAAAUACUGUUUCGUGUUCGCUCUGGGAUACCUCACAGUAUGCCAAAUCACCAGGGUCUAUAUCUUUGAUUAUGGACAAUAUUCUGCAGAUUUUUCAGGGUAAGAUGAAAGCUGCGAUUCAGUAGCUUGUUUAUUCUGUUUUAACAUUGGCUAAAACCCAAAAUGCAGGCGAGUCAGAGUCCUGGCGAAAAGCUCUUCUUCCGUCUUAGUUCAGAACUUCUUCACGGGUUUAGAUUUUUUUUUCUGUCUAGUAAUUGGUCUUUUAUAAUAAUGUAUGUCACAAAAAUAACCCAUGCUUUUAAAUUGCCUUAUAUAAGGUUUCAAAAAAAUAUUGCAAUUAACGUUUCCCUAUGACAUUCUGGUAUUAAGAGCAUUUUCUAAUUCUAGUAGAGAUUUCAGAACUUUUUUAUGGUUAUUGGAAGCCAGCACACGAGCCAUCAUGCUUUCUGUGCUCCUUCUCUCUCCCUCCCCGCUGUCUCUGACACUGUCUCUAUGUACAUGGCUCUCUAUCUCUCUUGUCUGUUUCUAUCU
rnacentral:lncRNA from 1 species